CGUGAGGUGGAAUCUGAAGGAAGCUGUAGGCAAACCUCUGGUCUGACGAACAGAAAUCACAUAUAGGCUAUGUGCUGGGGUAAGGUCGCAAGACAGACUAAAGCCCGAUAACUGUACGGAACUGUACAUAGUAAAUGUGGCAGAUAUGUGGAGGGAAAGAAAU
rnacentral:ncRNA from 1 species